GUGAAGAGAGCUGGGCUGAGCACACAGCCCUGCGGCGUGCCUGUGUUGAGGACCAGUGGGGACGAUGUUGAGCCACUUAUUCUCACCACCUGAGGCCUGUUGGUGAGGAAGUCUCUGAUCCAGUGGCACAGUGAAGCGGGCAGCCCCACCUCGAGUAGCUUCAGCACCAGCUUGUCUGGGAUGACGGUAUUAAAUGCUGAGCUGAGGUCA